ACGGGAGGCAGCAGUGAGGAAUAUUGGUCAAUGGACGGAAGUCUGAACCAGCCAAGUCGCGUGAAGGAUGAAGGUAUUAUGUAUUGUAAACUUCUUUAGCAGUGGAGUAAUAAGGGGAUCGCGAUCCCUGAUGCAAGUACACUGAGAAUAAGGAUCGGCUAACUCCGUGCCAGCAGCCGCGGUAAUACGGAGGAUCCGAGCGUUAUCCGGAUUUAUUGGGUUUAAAGGGAGCGCAGGCGGAGAUGUAAGCCAGCCGUCAAAUCGUGGUGCUCAACGCCAUCCAGCGGUUGGAACUGCAUCCCUUGAGUGCACUAGAGGAAGGUGGAAUUCGUGGUGUAGCGGUGAAAUGCAUAGAUAUCACGAAGAACUCCGAUUGCGAAGGCAGCCUUCUGGGGUGUUACUGACGCUCAUGCUCGAAGGUGCGGGUAUCAAACAGGAUUAGAUACCCUGGUA
rnacentral:rRNA from 1 species